rnacentral:rRNA from 1 species
GGUGAGUAAUGUCUGGGAAACUGCCUGAUGGAGGGGGAUAACUACUGGAAACGGUAGCUAAUACCGCAUAACGUCGCAAGACCAAAGAGGGGGACCUUCGGGCCUCUUGCCAUCGGAUGUGCCCAGAUGGGAUUAGCUUGUUGGUGGGGUAACGGCUCACCAAGGCGACGAUCCCUAGCUGGUCUGAGAGGAUGACCAGCCACACUGGAACUGAGACACGGUCCAGACUCCUACGGGAGGCAGCAGUGGGGAAUAUUGCACAAUGGGCGCAAGCCUGAUGCAGCCAUGCCGCGUGUAUGA